UUUUUUCUCAAGCAGAGCAAGAGCUUUUAUUAGAAGGUUACGGGGAAUUCCAAACUUUAAUAAAGACUCCGGGAAACACAUCAAAUGCUGCAAAAGCCAGAAGAGAGGGCUGGCAAAAAGUAGCGAAUAAAUUAAAUGCAGCCAGCAGUGGACCCAUGCGAACAUGGGAACAAGUAAAAGUAAAGUACAAGAACAUCUUACAAAAUGCAACCAAGAAAAAGGCGGAACGGAAAAAAACAGGUGGUGGUCCGGCCCCCUCUCCCUAUACUCCAGCAGAAGAGCUAGCCCUGGAUUUUAAUAGUAAGAGACCAAUUGUGGAGGGCAUCCCUGGGGGUAGCACCUCCUUAGACCCACAGCCAGGGACCAGCAGCAGCACCACCUUUAUUUCAGUUCGAAACAACACGCCCACACUUUUACCUGUCCCACAAGUGAUGUCUGAAGCAUGUGUAGACAGUGAAGAAACCCUGUCUGACGAGUGUCUGGAGGAAUUACUUGUAAGAAUGUAUGAUACAGGUGUAUGUAUCUUUGUGUAUGUAAUAUGACGGUAAUUUAUUAUUUGUGAGGUGCCGGAGUCUCCACCUCAGGAGAGGUCCACAGAUAGGGCUCCAGAGAAGCCGAUAGAAAGUGCUCCAGAAGACUCCACGCACAGAAGUGAAACUGAGGUGCCCAGUGUUAUACUUGUCAUUGAAUUUUGUUGGGAAAGGCACAUAUUGAGGUGUCCCCAUUUAGUUUUUCUGUUUCCAUAUUUGUUUUGGGUUUAGUUUUUUUUUACAUUUUU